rnacentral:lncRNA from 1 species
UGGUUGGUCUGGUUUAUGGUUGUUUAUCACUAUCCAAAAACGCACUUCACUUCACAUGCAAACAAUGCCUUUGGGUCCCUGACUGACUUUCUGGCUACUUCCCCACGCACACUCUGUCUCCUCGUGACUUUUAUCUUAUUUCAAGCUUUCAAGUUAAAACUCACAACAGUGUAUGUUAAAAACCUCCAAGAUUUAGUUGGUUUGGAUCAACGCCGGUGCCAAAAUAUAUGCAACUCGAAACUGCUGCAAAAUGCAAACUUGUCUAUAUUAGCUUCCAAUCUUAUAUUUACAUAAGGUACGGUAUGAGGAAAACUGCGAAUACUUGAAACUUAUAGUUUUGACCAGAUCACCAAGAAAAAUCAAACAUUCACUUUUUAAUUUAAAUGACUCACGUGAAAUGAUCAAGUAGUACUGCCUGCCAGUCCAGAUAGGAGUGACCAGACCGGAUCCACCAACCACACCUCGACGUUGAGGGACAUUUUCG